GGCUCUGUAGUGAAAGAUUCAUGUUGAGUUGCAAACUCAUCGAUGUACAUUAAGAGUGUGCCGGGGCCU
rnacentral:tRNA from 1 species